rnacentral:snRNA from 1 species
UGAUGUGAGGGAGAUCUGGCUAAGACAUCUGUCACCCCAUUGAUCUCCAGAGAUGAUCUGCUGCUCUGGCUGGCUAGGUGGGUGUCCCCUUCCUCCUGCACAGUUCCAUGCCUGUCCCUCUCAAAGCUUUGCCCUCAGCCAAAGAGGAUGGCUUUUCCCAAUAGCAGAUGGCUCUGUUGGAAGCUC